CUUAUCACUUUGCACGACCAAGACUCUGAAAAACAGAGAGAAAAGAAAACCAAAAACCAUUUCUUGUCUGGUUUGAAGAGAUUCUAAGGAGAUCCAAGUGAAAUCAAAGCCAAAGAAGUGGAUUAAACUUAGUUUUGGCCUUUUUAUGGAUAAGCAUAUCAACACCUAAGACACCACUUGUUACACGGUGAAAUAUAUUUUGGACAGAAGGUAGAGAAAUAAAUGAGUGAAUGACAUAAGGAGAAUUGAAGCAUGGUCCUGACCCUGAUUUGUACAUAUGAACACAUCGACCUUUUGUGGGUUAUUUCAGUUUAUCAAUGUGAUAUUUGUAAUAAAGUGUGAAGUUAUGUUUUGAAAACAAAUUGAGUUAUUUAAUACUUAUGUAUAAUAUGUUUGAGACACACUUUAUGUUUAAUGUAAAUAAUGCGAAAUAAGUUUUUUUUUUUU